GCUAAUGAUUUACCCAAAUUUGCUGUCUACAGUUUGCUGGUCCAUAAGUAGGCUAUAAAGAUAUAACCAGUCAAGCCACUGGUUGUUUAAUCACAAUCUCUUGAUCUGUACUAUAGGGUAAUUGCAUGCAUAGACACUCAUGUAAGUUUUGAGGCCUUUGAGCAGACUAUUUUGACAGCAGUACCAUCAUUCUCCUACCUCCAGCUGGCAAUUACUUACUACUUUUGGUGAACUCCCAUCCUUGGAGCUACACUCAUCUUUUGAGGGUUAUAAAGGGGGCGGGUGAGACUUCUUUUGGUUUUUUAACUUUGCUGAUGGCAACACUUCAAUCAGUCUUGAAAAUGUCUCACAUUGUUGCUUAGUAAUGUUUGCUACCUCUAAUCUUACACUGAUUAUGCUUGAUAAGCCAGCAAUGUAUAUGGUCAUGUGAAAAUCUUAAAUGGUCUUUUAAUGUUUAAAGGUUAUAAUGAGAGAGAGAGAGAGAGAGAGAGAGAGAGAGAGAGAGAGAAAGAAAGUGCAUAUCCAACCCCUCGGAAAAUCCCCUAAUUUCACCAAGCCCUGUCUUGUUUGACCUCCCUGUCAUUUGGGUUUCGACAGCAUGUGGCUUCUGACAGUUUGAGUUUAGCUCAGCAGCUUAGAGGGGGUCUUCUUGGACAUUAGAGGACAUGUGUCCACAACCAGGAGCCCACGCCUGACACCAGCAGAAAGAGAAGCCUGUUGACGACUAAUUUCCAGCAGCGGGAUAUUACCAAGGAGGAUACCACCAUCCCACAGUGCGGGUCAGUCACCUCAGGACCCAUGCUGCCUUUCUAUGUCCUUUGACCAGAACAGACUCCAUAUCUGCCCAACAGGAACCUGGCGUCAUACAGUUCACCCCCUACCUCUUAGCCCUGAGGUGUGUGUAUGCCAUCAUUGCAGGUGUUUACCUCCAAACCAACCCGAAGAACCCCUGCCAUGGCAACACAAUCACACACUAUGUGGUCAACACAGGAAAUGCAAAUGCGAACACCUGAGUGAAUACCUCAGGGAACAAUUAAUUUAAGGAUUAGCAUUAAUGAAGUAAUGUUCUGCUUGUUUGUUUAACAACAUAUGACCAACUUGAUUGUGUAUGUUUUAUUUAGUUUAGUUAGGAUUACUUCUAAAAUAAACUUUUAUACAUUAAUAAAGAA
ensembl:lncRNA